rnacentral:lncRNA from 13 species
AUGUUCAUGUGUAUAUGUUUCAGGACCUCUAGUGACACUGAACAAGCCACAGGGUCUUCCAGUGACAGGAAAACCAGGAGAGCUGACAUUGCUCUCAGUGCUGCCAGAGCUGAGCCAAUCCCUGGGACUUGGGGAUCGGGAGCUCCAGGUUGUCCGAGCAUCUGGGAAGUAAGUGGUGGGGGUGACAGGAGGCUGGGAGUACAGGCAUCUGUCUGUGUUGGGGAAACAGCUGCUUGGGGAUAAGCUGAGACAUUUUCCUUGGGAAGGUUUGAGAUCUUAGAGUUGGAUACAAGUACUGUGAAGAGGAGGAAGCUGAUGGCUCUGGGUUCAAAUCCUCAAGUGCAAACGGUGUGAUUCCAGGCCAAGCAUGACACCUCCCUGAAGCUGGGCACAGUGACUUAUGCCUGUAAUCCCAGCACUUUAGGAGGCCAAGGCAGGAGGAUCACUUGAGCCCAGGAGUUCAAGACCAGCCUGGGCAAAAUAGACCCCAUCUCUGGAAAAAACAACAAAACCUUCCCUGAGGCCAUGCACAGUGUUCACGCCUGUAAUCGUUGGGAAUUUGGGAGGCCGAGGUGAGAGGAUUGUUUGAGUCCAGGAGAUCAAGACCAGCCUGGGCAAUGUGUGAAAACCCUGUCUCUGCUAAAAAAAGAAAAAAAAACACAUACACACAAAAAAAACUAGCUGGGCAUAGUGGCACAUGCCUGUAGUCCCAGCUAUUCAGGCAGCUGAGGUGGGAGAGUCACCUGAGCUUAGGAGAUGAUGGCUCCAGUGAGAUGAGAUCCUGCCACUGUACUCCGGCCUAAGCAACCGGAGUGAGACCCUGUCUCAAAAAACAAAAAACACCCUCCCUGAGCCUCAGUUCUCCUAACUGUAAAAUCAAGAAAAUAAUACGCAUGCUCAAUGUGCAGUCACUUCUCCAUGACUGUACUUGUGGCAGGCAUUGCUAGUGGAUCCAUGAUACCCUUUCCUCUAACUGCCAUCAAUUAAAGAUGGUACUUGAGAUGAAAUAUUUCUGUAGUUCCACAAACUCAUGAGCUUUUUUUGUGGGGAACUUAAGAGCUAAUAUAUGCAGAAUUUCUAGAAGAGUUCUGGCACAUGGUGGACAAUCGUUAUAUUUGGCGCUGAGCUCCCUGGGGCCUGGGCCAGAAUGAGAACCACAUGAAGCUACAUAGUCCUGUUAUAUCAAACAAGGGGAGACCUUACUUGUUACUCAGGAGUGGUCUAGGUGGUAGUCCU